GCUCAACCGGGGAGGGUCAUUGGAAACUGGGGAACUUGAGUGCAGAAGAGGAGAGUGGAAUUCCACGUGUAGCGGUGAAAUGCGUAGAGAUGUGGAGGAACACCAGUGGCGAAGGCGACUCUCUGGUCUGUAACUGACGCUGAGGCGCGAAAGCGUGGGGAGCGAACAGGAUUAGAUACCCUGGUAGUCCACGCCGUAAACGAUGAGAGCUAAGUGUUAGAGGGUUUCCGCCCUUUAGUGCUGCAGCAAACGCAUUAAGCACUCCGCCUGGGGAGUACGGUCGCAAGACUGAAACUCAAAGGAAUUGACGGGGGCCCGCACAAGCGGUGGAGCAUGUGGUUUAAUUCGAAGCAACGCGAAGAACCUUACCAGGUCUUGACAUCCUCUGACAACCCUAGAGAUAGGGCUUCCCCUUCGGGGGCAGAGUGACAGGUGGUGCAUGGUUGUCGUCAGCUCGUGUCGUGAGAUGUUGGGUUAAGUCCCGCAACGAGCGCAACCCUUGAUCUUAGUUGCCAGCAUUCAGUUGGGCACUCUAAGGUGACUGCCGGUGACAAACCGGAGGAAGGUGGGGAUGACGUCAAAUCAUCAUGCCCCUUAUGACCUGGGCUACACACGUGCUACAAUGGGCAGAACAAAG
rnacentral:rRNA from 1 species